rnacentral:rRNA from 1 species
ACGCCGCCUCAGAAACUCAAAGGAAUUGACGGGGCCCGCACAAGCGGUGGAGCAUGUGGUUUAAUUCGAUGAUACGCGAGGAACCUUACCUGGGCUCGAACGUAAGAUGACUGUAGGUGAAAGCUUACAUCUCUUCGGAGCAUUUUACGAGGUGCUGCAUGGUUGUCGUCAGCUCGUGCCGUGAGGUGUCGGGUUAAGUCCCAUAACGAGCGCAACCCCUACCUUUAGUUGCCAUCAGGUAACGCUGGGGACUCUAAAGGAACUGCCUACGCAAGUAGUGAGGAAGGCGGGGAUGACGUCAAAUCAGCACGGCCCUUACGUCCAGGGCUACACACGUGCUACAAUGGCCGAUACAGAGGGCAGCUACCUGGUGACAGGAUGCAAAUCUCCAAAGUCGGUCUCAGUUCGGAUCGGAGUCUGCAACCCGACUCCGUGAAGUUGGAUUCGCUAGUAAUCGCGCAUCAGCCAUGGCGCGGUGAAUACGUUCCCGGGCCUU